CAGCGCCACGAGUGGCAUACAUUUUUAUUGGGCCUAAAGCGUUCGUAGCUGGUUUGGUAAAUCUUUUGUGAAAUCAUGGGGCUUAACUCCAUGGCGUGCAGAAGAGACUGCCAGACUUGGAACCGGGAGGAGUCAGAGGUAUUUCGUGGGAAGCGGUAAAAUGCUGUAAUCCUCGGAGGACCACCUGUGGCGAAGGCGUCUGACUAGAACGGAUUCGACAGUGAGGGACGAAGGCCAGGGGAGCGAACCGGAUUAGAUACCCGAGUAGUC
rnacentral:rRNA from 1 species